UGGCGCCCAAUGUGGCCGUGAGUACGAGGGCAUCAUUGAAGGACAUUGCUCAGGAAAGCCGGGUACAUCGCUAAAGAAGACAGAGCAGAGGAAGUUGUUAGACCGGAGCCUGCUGCUAUGCCGAGACCUCGGUAAGUGAGUUAGGAUUAUGGAGCAAGAAAUAAGCCAGCAUGAGUUAUUUGUUGAAGGCCUCAAAAAGACACUUAAGGUGCGAGGGGUUAGGCUUAAGAUGCAGGAUUUGUUAAAAAUGUUUAUCUUUAUUAAGGAAGUUUGUCCUU
rfam:Cricetulus griseus cell line CHO-K1, whole genome shotgun sequence.